UGGACGUGAUCGAAAAAGUUCAUACCGACGAAGUUGAAGUCCAAGGCGAAGUUCAUAUCGGACGUGAUUGGUGUGGAGCGCGGAAGGUUUGUCCCGUUUCUAUUUUCUCCCCUUUGUACUGUUUGAAGAAUAUAAAGUAUGAGCUUCUUCCUUUCUUCUUUUGUCAUCAGUCUAUCUUUCCUUUUAUUUUUGGUUUAUUUUGGAAAACACUGGACUAAAGGAAGAAAGGUCGUGAGGGAGAGAGUUGCGGUAGGUGUGAUACUCCAAAAUAUUAUAAUAGAUAUUUCUCUUCUUUGCAUUACUAAUAGUAAACAUUUCUUCUUUGCAUUACCAAUUGAUGUUGCUGCCAGAACUCAUGAAGUUUUAGCAUCCAACCUGAUACAUGAUGAUUCAGCUUCAUUGAGUGUUGGUUCUGCUGUCACUAUUGUUCCUCACGUUUUCCCUUUUGAGGAGAGGCAGAGACAGUCCACAGAGUGUAAGUUAUAGGUUUGGCACACUUUUGCUUGACUUGUCAGUGGAAAUCAUAUUCCUGCAACCCAUUUAAAGCAUAAAGAUACUUGCAAGAGUGAUUAUGGAAAAACAGGUUUAUGCACGACAUUCUUGCAGGACAAAAUACUUGGCACAUGUGAACACCUUAUUAACGGAUGUGCAAAAGACAUUCAUUCAAACCACUCCUUCUAACUCAGAUUUACAAGGCAUAUAGGAAGUUCUAACAUUCGCAAGGUAAGGUAAAGUAAAAACACAAGUCAAUAAAAGGGAUCAACAUACAUCAACCAUUCCAGAUAAAAAUACAAAACCCCUAAAUCACUUACGAAAGACGCAAAGAUGGAAAAGCCUUCAAUUUUACCGCCACCGGAAACCUUCACAACCACCGAUUGGGAGCGGUAACGCUAAAC